GUGUCUCUCCUGAAGCUUGCUUGCUGCCAUUUUCCCACCACCCCAUCCCACUGGUCUGGGAGCGGGAGGACUCCAGUGUGGCCUUGGCCGGCUCCCCACAGCGCUAGGCCCUCAGCUGGUGUUCGUUCUGUUAAUGCCCUUGCCUGCUGUCUCCCAGCUCCUCGUGCUCCCCAAGGGCAGGGUCCUCCUGCGCCCGCUGCUGUCCCCAUACAUCAUGGGCCACAGUGCACAGGAGGCCCGAGAGGCCACCUGCCAUCCUCCUCAGCUGUAGAUCUUCCCUCCUGUGCAAAUGAGAAAGAUAAGCCUACCUGCUCACGAAAACCGCCAUUUGCUGGGUGUCUUAGACUGACUCUGGUCUUCUUAGAAUUUCAGAUAAACACGCUUCCUUCACAAAUGCCGACGGUAAAGCGACGGUCACUCCACACAGCAAAUGCAAGGUUGCCGUUAACGGGGUGCCCAUCACCACCAGGACAAAGCUGCAGCAUUUGGACCGCCUGAUUUUGGGAUCCAGCAGCACCUACCUGUACGUGGGGUUUCCUUCAGAGCGGGGCAGUGAGGACCUGAGCAGGUUCGAUUACGACUUCUGCCAGCUGGAGAGGGCAGCCGGGGAGGGAGUGAGCGCAGACAAACUCGGUGAGCCCCCUCCUGACUGCUGGCCUUUCCCGUGUGCCGAUCUGAGAGCAGUGAUUUCACACUCUCUCUGCUUUCCUUAAGAAAAUCAUCGUUUGUUUUGUCAAAGUCUGAUGUUUACAAAAUUGAAUUAUGAUUUCCAUAUAGAGUGAGUACACGUUAAACAUUCAACUCGUUAAAUGUUCCCUGACGAAUGAGGGUAAAGAUGGUUCAAAGGGGUAGAGAAGAGAGUGGGGUACACAGCAAAUGAGGGAAGAAUGCUGAACUAGAGAAGCCAGUUAGUGGCCUCCGGCCGCCCCCAGGGGCCUGCUGGGCCUGCAGAAGCAGUGGCCCAACUCAAGAGGGGCCGGCAGGGGCCUGCUCUGGGCUAGCAAUGAGCAGCCCAGAAGAACGCGCAGCCCGAGGCUUCUGAGACAGAAUCUCCCCUUCUCCCCUUAACGCAGCCCCCAGCAGUAUCCCACGCUGGCCGCCUGCCUCUGCCUGUCUCUGCUGGGGCUUUCGCACGCCUUCCCCCCUGCUCCCCGGCCCCGAUUCACCGCGCUCCGGUGGCUCCCCCAGAAUCCAGGUGAGGCUGGAGCCCGCUGAGAUCUCAGUGAUGUGCGGCCUUCCUGGAGGGGCCCCACGCUUUGCUCAAUACCCGGACUCUGCCUGAACUCGCAGUAAUGAAACCGCUGGUGGAAAGUGGGCAGAUCCACCUGUGUGUAUGCAAAAGAGUUCCUCCUUGUUCCCUACACCACAGUGUUUCUCUCAGAAUUUCAGCAAAAUAAAUCGAUUUGAAAUUCACCUCCUUGCUCUUCUUCUGCUGAAGUUCUCAACUUUUAAAAACGAACCAGGCUGGGCGCGGUGGCUCACGCCUGUAAUCCCAGCCCUUUGGAAGGUGAGGUGGGCAGAUCACGAGGUCAGGAGAUCGAGACCAUCCUGGCUAACACAGUGAAACCCCGUCUCUACUAAAAAUACAAAAAAUUAGCCGAAUGUGAUGGCACACACCUGUAGUCCCAGCUACUCGGGAGGCUGAGGCAGGAGAAUUGCCUGAGCCUGGGAGGAGCAGGUUGCAGUGAGCUGAGAUCGUGCCACAGCACUCCAGCCUGGGUGACAGAGCGAGACUCCAUUUCAAAACAAAACGAAACAAAACAACGAACCAGCAAGACUCUGUCAUACCAGGCCCGGAAAAGCCAUCUGUUCAUUGACUUGCCCUCAGAGGUUGACUGUGCCGCUGCCCUUGUGGCCCUGGUGGUGCCAUGAAGCUGAACCAGCCCCAGACCCUGGCUCGGACCCUAGGGAAGACUUGGGUCCCCAACAAGGCAGCAGCUGUGUGAGCGGUUUGGAGUCAGACCUCAGGGCCAAGGGCACUGUGUGCACCCACAGGCCAGGGGUCCCUAAGAGUUGAGAUUUCCUGAUUAGAGGCAGUACCAGCCUGGGUUUGCGAGGGAUAUUGAUCCUCCCAUAAUCUCCACGAGCCCCUCCUUCAAGCCACCCCAAGUAUAAGAGAAGCACAGGUCGCUUGCUGUGGCAGCAGCAGCUUGAGGAUACCUCCAGGCCUUCUGUCUAGCCAGCCAUGUCUCACCUUGCCCCACCCACCUCCAGUCUGGAGCCACCUUGGGUCAAGGACCCUGAGACCAAGAAUGGGAACUUGGGGCAGAGGACCUCCUGCCUGCGGCCAGGAUUCAUGGGUCGAGAUAAGCAGCCACGUAAGGAGAAGCCAGGCAGUGCCAUUUUCCUUUUUUUUUUUUUUUUAAAUUACAUGCUUGUAAUUUUAAAAUGUAGAUAUUUGAUGAACAGCUGAACGAAUGAAUGAACAAAUAAGCAUACACAUUUAUUCACGGUGGCUGGGCGUGGUGUCUCAUGCCUGUAAUCCUAGCACUUUGGGAGGCCAAGGCAGGAGGAUCGCUUGAACCUGGGAGUUCAAGACCAGCCUGGGAAACAAAGUGAGACCUCAUCUCUAUAAAAUAUUUUAAAAAUUAGCCAGGCAUGGUGGCUUGCACCUGUAGUUCCAGCUACUCAGCAGGCUGAGAUGGGAGGAUUGCUUGAGUCUGGGAGGUGGAGGCUGCAAUGAGCAGAGAUCAUGCCACUGAACGCUAGCCUGGACGACAGAGCGAGACAGCUGUCUAAAAAACAAAAAAAAAAAAAAAAAAAAAAAAAAAGGGCCUGGCAUGGUGGCUCAUGCCUGUACGCCUGUAAUUCCAGCACUUUGUGAGGCUGAGGUGGGCAGAUCACCUGAGGUCAGGAGUUCGAGACCAGCCUGGCCAACAUGGUGAAACCCUAUCUCUACUAAAAAUUGAAAAAUUAGCCAGGUGUGGUAGUGCGCACCUAUAAUCCCAGCUACUCGAGAGGCUGAGGCAGGAGAAUCGCUUCAACUUGGGAGGCGGAGGUUGCAGUGAGCCGAGAUGGUGCCACUGCACUCCAGCCUGGGCAACAAGAGUGAAACUCUAUUUCAAAAAAAAAAAAAAAAUUAUUCAUGGCGGAACAAGUGACUGACUUUCGCCUCCACUAUGAUUGUUGCCAGGUGCUGUGGACGGUGGAGACGGCAAGGCAGACCCCAGUGUCCUGGCUGCGUUCCAGGACUACAUCAAACUGAUGCCGCUGGUUGCAGAAGCAAAUCAAAUGAAUAAAGAGCUGAAGAAGGUAAUUUAGCUAGAGCCAGGAGCUGGUAUGCCAGGUGCAGAUAGGACCUCAAGGCCUUGUGGGGCAGGGGUGCCUUCCCAAGGACUCUCAGGGAACUAGCGACAGAAGCCAGACUGCCCAGCCCAGUCCCGAGUACCAUUCCUUUCACCAGCAGCCUACCAGGGCCACCGGGAUCCCAGACCAACUCUUGCUGGCCAUGAGCAGGCCCUGCCAGAUGGUCCUGGGGCCUCUCCGGGUCUAGGCACCCUGAUGGCUGCUGUGCCACGGAGGCCACCUGGGCUGGGGACAGCUCCCUGGAGACAUGAGCUCCCAUCAGCCAGAACCUUGUAAGAG
rnacentral:lncRNA from 1 species